UACGUAGGGUGCGAGCGUUAAUCGGAAUUACUGGGCGUAAAGCGUGCGUAGGCGGUUCGCUGUGUCCGAUGUGAAAGCCCCGGGCUUAACCUGGGAAUGGCAUUGGAAACUGGCGGGCUUGAGUGCGGCAGAGGGGGGUGGAAUUCCGCGUGUAGCAGUGAAAUGCGUAGAGAUGCGGAGGAACACCGAUGGCGAAGGCAGCCCCGUGGGUCGACACUGACGCUCAGGCACGAAAGCGUGGGGAGCAAACAGG
rnacentral:rRNA from 1 species